rnacentral:lncRNA from 1 species
CCCCAAGUUCCCAGCAGCAGCGAGAAACCAAAUUCUCCAAGAAUUAUAUAAAUAGAACGUCCCAGACAACCUUUGCAGAUAUCCACUGCUCACUCUGCCCAAUGAUUACAGAAAUGAAAGGGUGAGGAUCUUAUCAACUAUUCCUCAGGAAGAGGAGGAGGAGGAGGGAGAGGAGAAGGAGGAGGAGGAGGAGGAAAAAGAAAAGGAAAAAGAGGAGGAAGAAGAAGAGGAAGAGGAAGAAGACCCUUUAUCGCUUCUACCUUGAUUUUCUUUCUGAAAUCAUUAAAUCACCAGGAAGGCAGAGCCCCUCCUUUAACUGGAUCUGUGACCAUUCCCACUGAGAGCUAGGGACCACACCCAUCAUCCCUCUUGCCUUUGACAGCCAACUCCCUAAGGGAAGUAGAGCAGAUCCUGUGGUCUGUGGGUGCAGGUAGGAUGGGAUGAGCAUCCUCAAUCCCAAAGGCAGUCAUGGUGUCUCCUUCCAACUGAGGGUAAGUUGGAGAAUGGACCCCUGUGCUUUGUUCAUUAUAGUGACUGGAUUCUAGGGUGUAGGCCAACAGUUUUCUCAUAAUGUUUUAACCACAUGUUCCUGGCCACAUUACCUUCCCCAGAGUCACAGUCAUGGCCUUGCUUUCUGAGCACUAACACACUUGGCCCUCAUGAUAGGGAUUGAGUUCUCAGUCCCUUUAGACUCCUGAAUAAAGACACAGCCUUACUACAGCUCCCUCAGGUUUCAACCAGGCCACAAGCAAGAUGCAAGACGUGGCUAUUUGUAUCACUCUGGGUACUUUGGUUGUUUCAAGUGAUGACAUAGAAUCAUAUAUUUGCAAAGAAAAAUAAGACAUAUCCAGGUCACUUUCUGUACUGGCUAGUUUUGUGUCAACUUGACACAGGUGGAGUUAUCACAGAGAAAGGAGCUUCAGUCGAGGAAAUGCCUCCAUGAGAUCCAGCUGUAAGGCAUUUUCUCAAUUAGUGAUCAAGGGGGAAAGGCCCCUUGUGGGUGGGACCAUCUCUGGGCUGGUAAUCUUGGUUUAUAAGAAAGCAGGCUGAGCAAGCCAGGGGAAGCAAUCCAGUAAGAACAUCCCUUUAUGGCUUCUGCAUCAGCUCCUGCUUUCUGACCUGCCUGAGUUCCAGUCCUGCCUUCCUUUGGUGAUGAACAGCAGUAUGGAAGUGUAAGCCGA